rnacentral:ribozyme from 13 species
UGGUUUCUGGUUCGUCCAUCUCUGAUUUCCUUUUCUUUUUCUUCUUUUUCUUCUUCUUCAUGUGCGU